GUACGUUGGUAGCACAUAUCCUAAAAUUGGAACAAUACAGAGAUGAUUAGCAUGGCUCCUGUGCAAGGAUAACAUGCUAAUUCAUGAAGCAUUCUAUAUUCUA